rnacentral:rRNA from 1 species
AGAAUCAACGCUGGCGGCGUGCCUAACACAUGCAAGUCGAACGAGAAAGUGGAGCAAUCCAUGAGUAAAGUGGCGACCGGGUGAGUAACACGUGACUAACCUACCUUCGAGUGGGGGAUAACCUCGGGAAACCGGGGCUAAUACCGCAUAACAUCUUUGAAGUGGAAAUUUCGGAGAUCAAAGGGGCAAUUCGCUUGAAGAGGGGGUCGCGGCUGAUUAGCUAGUUGGCGGGGUAACGGCCCACCAAGGCUUAGAUCGGUA